AUUGAACGCUGGCGGAAUGCUUUACACAUGCAAGUCGAACGGCAGCACGGACUUCGGUCUGGUGGCGAGUGGCGAACGGGUGAGUAACAUAUCGGAACGUAUCCAAUAAUGGGGGAUAACGAGUCGAAAGAUUCGCUAAUACCGCGUACGCCCUCCGGGGGAAAGCUGGGGACCUUCGGGCCUGGCGUUAAUGGAGCGGCCGAUAUCGGAGUAGCUAAUUGGUGAGGUAAAGGCUCACCAAGGCGACGAUCAGUAGCUGGUCUGAGAGGACGACCAGCCACACUGGAACUGAGACACGGUCCAGACUCCUACGGGAGGCAGCAGUGGGGAAUUUUGGACAAUGGGCGCAAGCCUGAUCCAGCCAUUCCGCGUGAGUGAAGAAGGCCUUCGGGUUGUAAAGCUCUUUCGCAAGGGAAGAAAACUUAGCCACUAACAUUGGUUGAGGUUGACGGUACCUUGAUAAGAAGCACCGGCUAACUACGUGCCAGCCGCCGCUGUAA
rnacentral:rRNA from 1 species